UUAAUGUGUGUGUGUGUGUGUGUGUGUGUGUGUGUGUGUGAGUUAUAUACAGUUUUGCACAACUGAUCUUAAAGGCAGGGUAGGUAAGUUUGAGAAACUAGCCAGAAACUGCUGGAUUUUGAAAGUAUCCAACAGAGAAACUCCCACCCCCUCCCUUCUGGGCUCCUUCCAAAGCCACGCCCCCAAAACACGUGAAUGCGCGUUGCCGACACCGCAGGAGGAUGAGGACAGUGUGACAAGUGGAGAGCAGCGGCUCACGUCAGGGAGCUUCCGUGGUGACAGCAUUAUUGUCUCUAAUAAGGACUACACCCCAGAGCCGAGCACAAACCGGGACAGGUCCGGGGUUGAGGCGAAGCAGAGGAGGGAGGGCUGCCGGGGUCUGAGGAAGAAAAGGCAGGACGGGGAGGACCAGGUGCAAGCCAAGGAGCACAUCUUCUAGGACCUGCGUCGAGCUUCACGCUCCAAAAACAGUAUAUGAACAGGCAGGAAUCUAAGGACUGUGGACAACAUCUA